CAUCAUUUAGUACCUCUCCAAACCGGUCUGACUCUCUUUCUUCUGUGUAACACCUUUUAAGUCCAAGAAGAGCUUUUUGUGAGGAACAGUUCAUCCUAGGUUUGUGAACUGGAUCAAUUGAUUUUUUUGAAAAGACCUAGGAUCCCUUCAGCAAUUGUCAGAGGUGGAGGACUGUGAGAGAGUGAGUGGGGUGUGAUGGCGAAGAACAGAUGGAUCCAACCCUAGAGAACCUUUUCUGCUGCGGUUUCUCUUUUCCAUACAACUUCCAGGGGGCUUCCAAAGGGGCUUCUUUUAAUUGAUCCCCAGUGUGAGCGAUCGAGGAGGAAGAGAGGGAACC
ensembl:lncRNA